rnacentral:rRNA from 1 species
AUGAACGUUGGCGGCGUGGAUUAGGCAUGCAAGUCGAGCGGAAGUAGCAAUACUUUAGCGGCGAAAGGGACAGUAAUACGUAGAUACGUACCCUCUGGACUGGGAUAGCCACGGGAAACUGUGGGUAAUACCAGAUAACGUCUCCGGACCAAGGUGUGAGUCCGCCGGAGGAGCGGUCUGCGUCCUAUUAGCUUGUUGGUGAGGUAAUGGCUCACCAAGGCGAUGAUGGGUAGCGGGUGUGAGAGCACGACCCGCGUCAUUGGGACUGAGAUACUGCCCAGACACCUACGGGUGGCUGCAGUCGAGGAUCUUCGGCAAUGGGCGCAAGCCUGACCGAGCGACGCCGCGUGUGGGAUGAAGGCUUUCGGGUUGUAAACCACUGUCAGUGGGGAGGAAAUUUAGGUGGGUACUCCCAUCUAAUUGACCUAUCCGCAGAGGAAGCAAGGGCUAAGUUCGUGCCAGCAGCCGCAGUAAAAC